UCUNCCGCAAUGGACGAAAGUCUGACGGAGCNACGCCGCGUGCGUGAUGAAGGUUUUCGGAUCGUAAAACUCUGUUGUUAGGGAAGAACAAGUACCGUUCGAAUAGGGCGGUACCUUGACGGUACCUAACCAGAAAGCAACGGCUAACUAAGUGCCAGCAGCCGAGGUAAUACGUAGGUGGCAAGCGUUGUCCGGAAUUAUUGGGCGUAAAUCGCGCGAAGGCGGUUUCUUAAGUCUGAUGUGAAAGCCCCCGGCUCAACCGGGGAGGGUCAUUGGAAACUGGGGAACUUGAGUGCAGAAGAGGAGAGUGGAAUUCCACGUGUAGCGGUGAAAUGCGUAGAGAUGUGGAGGAACACCAGUGGCGAAGGCGACUCUCUGGUCUGUAACUGACGCUGAGGCGCGAAAGCGUGGGGAGCGAACAG
rnacentral:rRNA from 1 species